rnacentral:siRNA from 1 species
GGCGGUGUUGUCACUCUCUCGACU